AACGAACGCUGGCGGCAGGCCUAACACAUGCAAGUCGAACGCCGUAGCAAUACGGAGUGGCAGACGGGUGAGUAACGCGUGGGAACCUUCCCUAUGGUUCGGAAUAGCUCAGGGAAACCUGGGGUAAUACCGGAUAAGCCCUCCGGGGGAAAGAUGUUAUCGCCAUUGGAUGGGCCCGCGUCGGAUUAACUAGUUGGUAGGGUAACGGCCUACCAAGGCGACGAUCCGUAGCUGGUCUGAGAGGAUGAUCAGCCACACUGGGACUGAGACACGGCCCAGACUCCUACGGGAGGCAGCAGUGGGGAAUAUUGGACAAUGGGCGAAAGCCUGAUCCAGCCAUGCCGCGUGAGUGACGAAGGCCUUAGGGUUGUAAAGCUCUUUUGGCGGGGAAGAUAAUGACGGUACCCGCAGAAUAAGCUCCGGCUAACUUCGUGCCAGCCGCCGCCGUAACAC
rnacentral:rRNA from 1 species